AUUGAACGCUGGCGGCAUGCCUUACACAUGCAAGUCGAACGGCAGCACGGGAGCAAUCCUGGUGGCGAGUGGCGAACGGGUGAGUAAUAUAUCGGAACGUGCCCAGUCGUGGGGAUAACGUAGCGAAAGCUACGCUAAUACCGCAUACGAUCUAUGGAUGAAAGCGGGGGAUCGCAAGACCUCGCGCGAUUGGAGCGGCCGAUAUCAGAUUAGGUAGUUGGUGAGGUAAAGGCUCGCCAAGCCGACGAUCUGUAGCUGGUCUGAGAGGACGACCAGCCACACUGGGACUGAGACACGGCCCAGACUCCUACGGGAGGCAGCAGUGGGGAAUUUUGGACAAUGGGCGCAAGCCUGAUCCAGCAAUG
rnacentral:rRNA from 1 species